rnacentral:misc_RNA from 1 species
CUUGCGUAUCCGUUGGGAGUCGACUCGUAGCCAUACAAAGGAGCGUGCUCUAGGAAUGAUAGAAAAAUUGGUUGAGGGCAUUCAUAAACCUUUUACUGGAGUGGCUAACAGGAUUCUUCUUUCUUAUGUGGCUUAUGUUCCUGCUAUUCCAAUCCUGCAGAAGGAAUAUGGUGAACUUUUAGUGAGCUGUGGUUUGAUUGGGGAGGCAAUCAAAAUCUUUGAGGGUUUAGAGUUGUGGGACAAUUUAAUAUACUGUAACUGCUUAUUGGGGAAAAAAGCAGCAGCUGUU